GACGAACCGUGCGAACGUUGUUCGGAUUCACUGGGCUUAAAGGGCGCGUAGGCGGCUUGCCAAGUCAGGGGUGAAAUCUUUCGGCUUAACCGGAAAAGUGCUUCUGAUACUGGCGAGCUGGAGGGAGAUAGGGGCAGACGGAACUUCCGGUGGAGCGGUGAAAUGCGUAGAUAUCGGAAGGAACGCCGGUGGCGAAGGCGGUCUGCUGGAUCUCUUCUGACGCUGAGGCGCGAAAGCUAGGGGAGCAAACAGG
rnacentral:rRNA from 1 species